rnacentral:tRNA from 3 species
GCGGGAGUCGCCCAGCUUGGCCAAAGGCGUAAGGUUGAGGGCCUUAUCCCUCAGGGGUUCGUGGGUUCAAAUCCCAUCUCCCGCA